CAUAUCUGGAAUGCCCACUUCUCCACCUGUCCAGUCAUAUAUUUAAUUCAGACUCUUGGCUUCCAUCAUGAAACGUUCCUCAAAUUCUCUGAGCCCUUGCCUCCCCAACAUGAACUCUCUUCACAGUUAGAAAAGAAAUAAAAAACAAACUCCAGAACUUUCAAACAUAAGAGGAAUGUAAGUUUCCAGAUUCAAGAAUACACCGAAUGCCCAGCAAGAUGGAUUGGGGGAAACCUACAUUAAAGAACAACACCGUGAUUUAUGAAAACACCAAGCUUAAAGAAGAAAUCCUAAAAAGUUUCUAGAGAAAGGAAACAAAAGAUCAGAAAUGAGCAUGGCUUUAGAUUUCUCAACAGCAACCUUGAGAAUUAGGUGACAAUGGUGUAUGCCUUCAAAGUUCUAAGGAAAAUGAUUUCCACCCAGAAUUCUAUGCCUUCAAGGCCUCCAGCAUGGUACCAUACAGAUGAGAACUUAAUGAAGAAGGAUGCUUCUGAGUAAGAUUUAGUCAUCUCCUUGAAGAUACUUUUCUCCUUUGGAAAAGGAAGAAUCAAACUUUCCUGAACUUCUCAGGGAGAACAUGGUGGUUGACUUUGUUUCUUCUGUCAAAGGACAUCAUUAUAGUACCAAGGUGACAUCGAGGAGGUUUUAACUCUCCCAAAAAGUUGCACCAGAGGAUUUGGGGAGGUGUAGGAUGUGACAGCCAGCCCAGAAGCAGGGCUAGUAAUUAUAAAAUGGGUGACGAUGGAAAAAUUGCUCUCUUCUUCGGGGUUACUUGCCCAUCAAAGAACAGCAAGGACUGGGCAUGUGAAAUGCCAAUGGUUUGGCUAAUCAACACGCCACAGCUUAGCUGGAGUCACUGUACUUGAAUGUGGUUUUGUUUUUAAUGCUGUGUUCUUGUGGGCAUGGAAAGAGUUACAGCCAACUGCCCCAGGUAUGGUAACUAGAGGCGGUGGUGGAAAUGUAAAUGUAAGGACCCUUUGUCUUCUCCCCUCCAGUAGUAAAGGGGACGAAAGAGAGUGGAGAAGGAUUGCACUCUUCUGGUGGACUUUCUCCUGUGAUGCACAGAAAUGCACGGAUAACGUUAAAAAUAUUUUAAAUUGUAUUUAUUUAUAUAUUUUAGAGAUGGGGUCUUGCUAUGUUGCCCAGGCUGGUCUCAAACUCCUGACCUCAAGUGAUCCUCUUGCCUUGGCUUCCGUGGUACCUACCUGUAAUCCAAGCUAUGAUCGCUUGAACCCAGGCAUUUGAGAUGAGACUGGGCAACACAGUGAGACCCCCAUCUCUAAAAAAGUAUCGUCUUGUUUUGUGUGACCUGGCCAUCAACACAUAUUUACAAAAAAGAGAUAUCUCUCUUUUAUUAUCAUAAAGCAUAGACUGAAUUUUAGAUAGGUUUUGAAUCUCUCUGUGCCUGAAUUUCUCUCAAAAUUAAUAGUGCCUCAUAUUUGAUAAAGCACUAAGUUUUCUUUUGAAAGGUGCACAGAAAACUCUGCAUUGCCUAAAUUAUAAUUUUCUCAACUAUUUGACCCAACCUAUCACUGUUGUAGUAUUCUUUAACAGAGCAUUCUGUUACCAUGAGUAAGGGAGUUGCUGCUUUUUUUUUUUUUUAAAUCAAUCAAGAACUACAGAUAAGUACUUUUAAAAUCAGACCAUGACUGGGGAAAGCAGGAGUCAACGAGUCAGUUUGAGUCUGUUAUCAGCUCUGCCUGAGACUGGCCUUUUAUAUCACUCUGAGGAGUAAUGCUGUUUGUUUUCAGCAUGAAAUACAUAAGAGAAAAAAUUAAGUAGGGAACAGGAGAAUAAUAUUUGGAUAGGGUAGUUUUAUUAUUUUGUCUGACACAUUAUGUCCCCUAGCCCUCAGUAUAUCCAGGGAUCAUCUAUGCUUAAAGUUAAAUACAAGAUAACUUCCCAAGCCAAGUACAAGUGAUUUUAAAAAAUAAUAAAAUGCCUUAUAGGAUUACCUACUACAGUUCUUAAGUUGCCCAGGAAACAUCACAUCACUGCAUGCAGUGUCAGAGACAUCGGUAAAUCCUCCGCCAACAAGUAUUUUGAAUAUAGCAGAAAAACACAGAUGUUUUAGACCUUCUGAGAUGCAUUAAGUUCUGGAAACUGGAAGCCAUAAAAGACAAAAUCGUGGGAGGGGAAUUGCUGGGAGCACCCUGGGAAAGCAGCCACCCUGGAGUUGAGUGACCUCUCUUUGAUCUCUAGCUUUCCCAAGUCACUUUCCCAUGCAUUUCCUCAACACUGGUUUCAGUUCUUUAGAUCUAAUAAAAGCCUUUGGGGUUGGGAGCA